rnacentral:rRNA from 1 species
CAGCAGCCGCGGUAAUACCGGCGGCCCGAGUGGCGGUCACUAUUAUUGGGCUUAAAGCGUCCGUAGCCGGGUUGGGAAGUCCUCCGGGAAAUCUGGCCGCUUAACGGUCAGAAUGCCGGAGGAUACUCCCAGCCUAGGGAGCGGGAGAGGCCGAGGGGAUUCCCGGGGUAGGGGGGAAAUCCUAUAAUCCCGGGAGGACCACCUGUGGCGAAGGCGCUCGGCUGGAACGCGUCCGACGGUGAGGGACGAAGGCCAGGGGAGCAAACCGGAUUAGAUACCCGGGUAGUCCUGGCGGUAAACGAUGCGGACUUUGUGUCGGACAAGCUAUGAGCUUGUCCGGUGCCGGAGGGAAACCGUUAAGUCCGCCGCCUGGGGAGUACGGCCGCAAGGCUGAAACUUAAAGGAAUUGGCGGG